CCAACCCCCCCUUUUUCCGGUUCAAGAGAGAGAGGUGGCGGUUCCCUCGGUGCAGGGGCAUCUCCGGCGAGCCCGCAGAGUCUGGCGUGAAGCCCGGGCAGCUCUCACCCGCACCUCCGCCCGGAACCAGAGGCUGGCGGAACGUCACCGCCGACCAGCUCCUGAUUACCAACCGGGCCAGAAGGUUUGGCUUUCCUCCCGUGACCUCCCUCUACAAACUGAGUCUCGGAAACUCACUCCCAGGGCUGGUGUGUGACAGGGGGCGUGGCUGGUAUUCUCCUGGCUGCAGAUGAGGCACACCUGUUCCCAUUCAGAUAAUCACCUGCUCUUUAAGAGCCUGGCCCUCACCUCACUUCUCUGCCAGAGAAUUAAAUGCUGUUCCACGAUCCAGAGUGCCUUUCUGCAGCCUUGAGUUUUGUUUUGUUUCUUUGCAGUUUUUGAGCUACUUUUCGAGUAUAGCCUGGGAUGUUUCCCUCUGCUUUGUUUUUGGACCUUUCUGCAGCCAGCCAGCUCCCUGUUUUCAGUACCUGCCUUGGCCUAUUAUUUAUUAAACACCUUGAGCUUAA